GAUGAAGAACGCAGCGAAAUGCGAAAAGUAGUGUGAAUUGCAGAAUUCAGUGAAUCAUCGAAUCUUUGAACGCACAUUGCGCCCCUUGGUAUUCCAUGGGGCAUGCCUGUUCGAGCGUCAUUUGUACCCUCAAGCUCUGCUUGGUGUUGGGUGUUUGUCUCGCCUCUGCGUGUAGACUCGCCUUAAAACAAUUGGCAGCCGGCGUAUUGAUUUCGGAGCGCAGUACAUCUCGCGCUUUGCACUCAUAACGACGACGUCCAAAAGUACAUUUUUACACUCUUGACCUCGGAUCAGGUAGGGAUACCCGCUGAACUUAAGCAUAUCAAUAAGCGGAGGA
rnacentral:misc_RNA from 1 species